rnacentral:rRNA from 1 species
UACAGAGGCCUCGAGCGUUAGGCGGAAUCACUGGGCUUAAAGCGUGUGUAGGCGGGUCGUUAAGUACCUUGUGAAAUCCCAUGGCUCCACCAUGGAACGGCUGGGUAUACUGGCGAUCUUGUGCAACCUAGGGGCGAGCGGAACAGAUGGUGGAGCGGUGAAAUGCGUAGAUAUCAUCUGGAACGCCAAUGGUGAAAACAGCUCGCUGGGGGUUUGCAGACGCUGAGACACGAAAGCCAGGGGAGCGAACGGG